GCGAGAGGCGGCUCCGGUCGUGACAGCGGUAAAGAGAAAGUGGAGGCGAGAGCUCGCGCACGCAUCCCGGGGGCUGGAGGAGCCCCGGCCCCGCGGCCCCGCCCGGCGACACACGGCGCGGAGUCGCCAAAGCUCCUCUCGCUCUUCCUCCGAGUCGCGCUGCGGGGUCGUGAAGGGCGAGUGGAGUACCGCAGGUUCGCGCACAGGCUCGGCCAACGCCUGCCGAGGGCCCCGGGGGUCGGGCCCCGGGAAGCCCGAGGAAGACAGCAAGGACACGAGCGUCUACGCGGCACCGGCGCGCUGGUGGCAGCGGCGACAGCACAGCACGGAUCGCCAGGGAGACCCGUCCCGGCGGCCCUCGCGGCGCACCGGAAGCGGCCGGCGCGCGUGAUUGCGUGCGACCCCCGCGCAAGCGCAACCGACCGGUCCUCUGUUGGAACCGAUUGGAGGCUUGGGGGCUGGAUGGGGGCAGGGGAUCCGCUAAAGCGGACGGACAGCUUCCGGCCAAACUUCCCGGAGCCGGAAGCUAGUGCUGAGGUUGCGAAACAAGGAGCCCAACCCGCUCAGGGCAGGAAUUUGGGACAGUCAGGAACACCUGUCUGAUUUCCAGGAUACCCUGUGAAGAGAGCAACAUGAGGAAAAGGUGCAUGUAAUCUCCUGAACCGUGUGUGUGUGUGUGUGUGUGUGUGUGUGUGUGUGUGUGUGUGUGUGCGUGGAUUUGGCCUGGUGUAGGUCCCUUGUGUCAUGCUAUCAUUACAUCUCAUGUUGAAUUACAUGAACAUUGCCAAUUCCAUAGUUCUGGGAAAGUCUUUAAAUGUACUAACCUUGCCUUUGGGUUUCUAUAGUUCCACUUCUGGCUAACUGUUAUUGUUAGCUGAAGUAUGUCAACCAAAAAUAGGAAUUUUGGCCCUUUCCGUGGACUCACCGCAGACCAGAGUCCUCAUCCAGUGGCUGAUGAGAGCAGAGACAGACAUCCACAGAAAUACACUGAGCUGAAAUCUGGAACUCAGUUGAAGAGAGGGAGGAAUGAAGAACGAAGGGGUCUGUACCUGGUUGGAGAAACCCACAGAAACAGUUGGCCUGAAAAAGGGAAAGCAUAUCGACCCCAGAUGCUCUUUGGGAGGACAGUACAGGACUAAUCCAGCCCCCUGAUCAUGGAUGCCAAUGGGGAGGCCCCUGCACUCCUGGGAUUUUUAGACAUAGAGCAAAGGUUUACCAGCCUAUAAUCCUCUACCCCAAGGAAACUAGAAAUCAUGAAUGACUCCAGAGGGAGGUGGACUGGCGUUUUGCCCUGGUGGGUGGGAGGGACUUCGAGAGCCCAUCCCACUUGAAGGGAUUCGCUCUGUCUCUGAACACAUGGGGAGGGGCCUAGGCCCAGCACAGGAAGAUUUGGUGGACUUGGUGGAACCCUGGUUGGGGGCCCUACCCUGC
rnacentral:lncRNA from 1 species